rnacentral:lncRNA from 10 species
GUAACAUCUGACAUUAGGUUAUACAAAGACUCUUCUUCCAUCUUGGGUUUCUCUUUCUCUGAGAUACCCCACUGUGGAAGAAGCAAACUUUUAUUGUGAUCAGAAAUCUAUGUGGCAAGGAACAGAUGUCUCUGAUCAACUGCCAGGAAAUACCUGAGACCUGCCAAGACCCACGUCGGUGAUUCUCCCCAGUAGAGCUUUAUGGUGACCACCCCAGUCAACCCAUGGAGUUCAGCUCUGCGAAAGGUGAAAGAGGGGUAAAGGAGGGAAGAAGAGAAGUCUCAAGAGAUGGAUUUAAGGUUCUCCAUGGUUUUGCAAAGCUCCGAGAGUGUGAUGACCUUUAUGUGACCCAAGAAUGCUCCCACGGAAUACAGGAUUCCAAAAAAAAAAAAAGAGGAUUCAUUUAUAGUAGAGAAGUGGGGUCUCCCUACUCCCCAUUUUCUAUGGAGCAAAGGAGUAUAUGUGCGACCUCAGUAUUAUUAGUCUAUCUUUCUUGGCCUCUGCCUCCUUGCCUGGAAAGUGCAGAUAAUAAUCUUAUCUCAAAUGUCCUUUAGAAGAUUUAAUUGAAUCAUGCACACAAAGCAUCUAACAUAGCAAGAGAAAUGGUAGGUGCUUAACUGAUGCUUCACCUUUACUUUCACAGCACUGUGAGAUUUCUGUCAAUGUAAAUCUUGAGGGAAAGAUGAGGGAUCAAUUGCCAAUGGGAUGGUUAUUUGGAGGUUCCUGGUGUGUCUCUGAAAAGAAGGGGAGGGGGCCACAAAGGAGAGAAAGAAUAAUGCUACGGGAGGGAUGCUAGGAUCUGACUUCUGUGCAUUGCCCAACAACCAUGUAGUUGGUCGAUUUUCCCACCCUUGCACAAUCUCUUGGCACAACAAUUCCACAUUGUUUAGGAAAUAUGUUGGGAGAAAAAUCCUUCCUCACUUACAUUUGUAAUGUGAAGGGCUAGUGCUCUUGGUUUUAAUAACUAUAAAACAUAUCUUUCUUUCUUUAGGAAAGAAAGAUUGCUCUCAGUUAUCCAUUUUGAACACAGAAUGGUGAGCAAAUCAGGCUAUUUAUGGAUACCUCUUCAUUUGGUUGCAUAAGAUGAAUGCUUCUUGGGAAGGCUGUACUUCCCUAAUUCAGGUUCUUGUAGUCUAGAAAGGGAAAUUCUCUUGAUGAAUCAUUGACCAAGGCCAAGGAUUGGCCAAUUUUGAUUUUUCAAAACCCAGUCUCUGGUAUCAUAUUCUUUAGGAAGUCUUCCUGGAUCCCCCAAUAUGCUGGGUUAUUUAAUAUCAACUCAGCAUUAUCCUCUCCUUCCUUUUAUGUUCUUCCCUGCAUGAGAGAAGCUAGCCUUGGACCACAUUUUCUAGAUUUUUGCCAGGAGGGUUCAGGGUUGGAUUCUUCUAAGAAGAAGUGUUGGUGUGGUAUUUUGAAGGCAAAAGAGAAGAAGUUCUUAUUCUCAGCAGCAGCCAUCAGGGAGUAGGUGUCAAUAGAUGCAGAAAGUUUCCAUUAGUUUCCUUCCGUGCAUCUUCUUGAGAAUUUUCCAGUUCUGCACAGCUUCCUGGAUUCUAGCUUUUCCAGAUUUCCUGACCAACGUGACUCCAAUUCAUCCCACAGUUGUUUAAGCUUUUAAUUUCCUGUAUUAAGUUCCUUUCUGCCUCAACUAUGCACGGUGUCCUGUCUUCCUAUCUAGACUUUGAAACUCCAGAUUGAGUUAAACGUUCUGUUCUUAACAUUAUUUUAGCAUCUUUUUCUUGUUAUUGCUUAAAUCCAUAGCUUGCAUCCAUAGGCUGUGGAGUAAAGCAGAAACUUUCACAGUUUCUUCAGCUGCCAAGGGUUGUCAAAGGCUCUUAAAAAUUUGGCCAGGUGCAGUGGCUCGUGCCUGUAAUCCCAGCACUUUGGGAGGCUGAGGCAAGCAGAUAACGAGGUCAGGAGAUCGAGACCAUCCUGGCUAACACGGAGAAACCCCGUCUCUGCUAAAAAUGCAAAAAAUCAGCCGAGUGUGGUGGCAGGCAUCUGUAGUUCCAGCUACUCGGGAGGCUGUGGCAGAAGAAUGGCGUGAACUUGGGAAGCAGAGCUUGCAGUGAGCCGAGAUUGGGCCGCUGC